rnacentral:rRNA from 1 species
CCUACGGGAGGCUGCAGUAGGGAAUAUUGCUCAAUGGGGGAAACCCUGAAGCAGCAACGCCGCGUGGAGGAUGAAGGUUUUCGGAUUGUAAAAUCCUUUUGUUAGAGAAGAUAAUGACGGUACCUAACGAAUAAGCACCGGCUAACGCCGAGCCAGCAGCCGCGGUAAUACGGAGGGUGCAAGCGUUACUCGGAAUCACUGGGCGUAAAGAGCGCGUAGGCGGGAUAGCAAGUCAGAUGUGAAAACCUAUGGCUUAACCAUAGAACUGCAUUUGAAAAUGUUACUCUUGAGUAUAGGAGAGGUAGGUGGAAUUCGUGGUGUAGGGGUGAAAUGCGUAGAGAUCAAGAGGAAUACUCAUUGCGAAGGCGACCUGCCAGAACAUAACUGACGCUGAUGCGCGAAAGCGUGGGGAGCAAACAGGAUUAGAUACCCUAGUAGUC